UACGAAGGGUGCAAGCGUUACUCGGAAUUACUGGGCGUAAAGCGUGCGCAGGCGGUUUUGUAAGCCAGAUGUGAAAUCCCCGGGCUUAACCUGGGAAUGGCAUUUGGGACUGCAAGGCUGGAGUUUGGCAGAGGAGACUGGAAUUCCUGGUGUAGCAGUGAAAUGCGUAGAUAUCAGGAGGAAUACCGAUGGCGAAGGCAGGUCUCUGGGCUAUAACUGACGCUCAUGCACGAAAGCGUGGGGAGCAAACAGG
rnacentral:rRNA from 1 species